rnacentral:rRNA from 1 species
GACGUAGGUGGCGAACGUUAUCCGGAAUUAUUGGGCGUAAAGGAUGCGUAGAUGGUGUAGUAAGUUAUCGGUGGUAAAUCGAGGCUCAACCUCGUGGAAGUCGGUAAUACUGCUAUGCUAGAGGAUAGGAGAGGUUAACGGAACUCCCUGUGGAGCGGUGAAAUGCGUAGAUAUAGGGAAGAACACCAAUAAGGCGAAGGCAGUUAACUAUUCUAUUCCUGACAUUUGAGGCAUGAAAGCGUGGGGAGCAAAACGGG